AUUGAACGCUGGCGGCAGGUCUAACACAUGCAAGUCGAGCGGAUGAAGGGAGCUUGCUCCUGGAUUCAGCGGCGGACGGGUGGGUAAUGCCUAGGAAUCUGCCUGGUAGUGGGGGAUAACGUCCGGAAACGGGCGCUAAUACCGCAUACGUCCUGAGGGAGAAAGUGGGGGAUCUUCGGACCUCACGCUAUCAGAUGAGCCUAGGUCGGAUUAGCUAGUUGGUGGGGUAAAGGCCUACCAAGGCGACGAUCCGUAACUGGUCUGAGAGGAUGAUCAGUCACACUGGAACUGAGACACGGUCCAGACUCCUACGGGAGGCAGCAGUGGGGAAUAUUGGACAAUGGGCGAAAGCCUGAUCCAGCCAUGCCGCGUGUGUGAAGAAGGUCUUCGGAUUGUAAAGCACUUUAAGUUGGGAGGAAGGGCAGUAAGUUAAUACCUUGCUGUUUUGACGUUACCAACAGAAUAAGCACCGGCUAACUUCGUG
rnacentral:rRNA from 1 species